UGCCCAGCAACUCCUAUCCCUACCUCCUCGUGGUACUGGCCGGGGUACGAGUAGCCUUGGGGAAGAUCGGGUAACCAACCCCCGGUGGGAACUUUGGUCGUAUGCUGACAGGGAAGG
rnacentral:ribozyme from 1 species